UAAUACGUAGGGUGCGAGCGUUAAUCGGAAUUACUGGGCGUAAAGCGUGCGCAGGUGGUUGUGUAAGUCAGAUGUGAAAUCCCCGGGCUCAACCUGGGAACUGCAUUUGAGACUGCACGGCUAGAGGAUGGCAGAGGGGGGUAGAAUUCCACGUGUAGCAGUGAAAUGCGUAGAGAUGUGGAGGAAUACCGAUGGCGAAGGCAGCCCCCUGGGCUAUUUCUGACACUCAUGCACGAAAGCGUGGGGAGCAAACAGG
rnacentral:rRNA from 1 species